CCUACGGGUGGCAGCAGUGGGGAAUAUUGCACAAUGGGGGAAACCCUGAUGCAGCGACGCCGCGUGAGUGAAGAAGUAUUUCGGUAUGUAAAGCUUUAUCAGCAGGGAAGAAAAUGACGGUACCUGUUCAAGAAUCUCCGGCUAACUACGUGCCAGCAGCCGCGGUAAGACGGAGGAGGCAAGAGUGAUCCGGAUUUACUGGGUGUAAUGGGAGUGUAGACGGCAAAACAAGUCUGGAGUGAAAUGCCGGGGCUUAACCCCGGAACUGCUUUGGAAACUGGGCAGCUAGAGUGCAGGAGAGGUAAGUGGAAUGCCUGGUGUAGCGGUGAAAUGCGUAGAUAUUAGGAGGAACACCGGUGGCGAAGGCAGCUUACUGGACUGUAACUGACGUUGAGGCACGAAAGCGUGGGGAGCAAACAGGAUUAGAUACCCUUGUAGUC
rnacentral:rRNA from 1 species